rnacentral:rRNA from 1 species
CUACGUGCCAGCAGCCGCGGUAAUACGUAGGGUGCGAGCGUUAAUCGGAAUUACUGGGCGUAAAGCGAGCGCAGACGGUUACUUAAGCAGGAUGUGAAAUCCCCGGGCUCAACCUGGGAACUGCGUUCUGAACUGGGUGACUAGAAUGUGUCAGAGGGAGGUAGAAUUCCACGUGUAGCAGUGAAAUGCGUAGAGAUGUGGAGGAAUACCGAUGGCGAAGGCAGCCUCCUGGGAUAACACUGACGUUCAUGCUCGAAAGCGUGGGUAGCAAACAGGAUUAGAUGCCCUGGUAGUCCACGCCCUAAACGAUGUCAAUUAGCUGUUGGGCAACUUGAUUGCUUAGUAGCGUAGCUAACGCGUGAAAUUGACCGCCUGGGGAGUACGGUCGCAAGAUUAAAACUCAAAGGAAUUGACGGGGACCCGCACAAGCGGUGGAUGAUGUGGAUUAAUUCGAUGCAACGCGAAGAACCUUACCUGGUCUUGACAU